CAAAGGCCUGGAGCUGUCCCUGUGUAUCGUCCACGGUGGUAAUUCAGUUAGAUGGACGUCAUGUCUCUGGAAGCUGGUUGAUGUCAGUCAAGUUGGUGUUGUUGAGAAUAGACUUGGUCCAGUGACUCCGUCUGUUGAAUUCGCACCAGCUGCACCUGAAGAGACAUGGCACCCCCAUUAUUUUGCGCGCUCACCUUUUGGAACUACCUGCAGCACAAUCCGCACCACAGUCCCUGUGAUGUCGGGCGGGAUUCCUCACAUCACACAAGAAGGUUCCGUUGUCACCGAACUGGAUGGGGAAGAUCUGAAUAGAGGCGUCUCUCUUGUUGAUGUCUCCGACAAACUCUUUGAACUCAGGUUCGCCCAGGUAUUGAUUAGCGUUGAAGAAGUAGAAAAUCUGGAGGAAGGAGGAGGUUCAAGUUGGCGUCUGUCUAUGAGGAUGUUUGUCAAACACAGAACUCAAGCCACAGUACAAGUGAAGUGAAGAAGGUUAAGCAUGGUGGUGCAAGCAUCAUGAUAUGGGGAUGUUUUUCGUACUACGGUGUUGGUCCUGUUUCCUGCAUACCAGGAAUCAUGGAUGACUUUGAGCACAUCAGGAUACAGGAAGAAUGUUGCCAUAUGCUGAAGAGGAAACACCUCUGAAGUGGAUGUUCCAACAAGACAAUGACACAAAAAAACACACCAGCAAGCCAGCACAAUCAUCGUUCCCGACAAACAGCAUCCAACUAAUGGAGUGGUCAGCGCCAUCUGCAGACCUUAAACCCACAGAAAAUUGUGGGCUGAGAUAAAAAAAAAGGCAAAACCAAGAAACGCAAAGGAAUUGUGGAACAUAGUGCAACUGACGUUGGCUGCAAUACCUGUUGACCGUCGCCAGAAAUUGGUCAAAGCAGUUAUCAUGGUUACAUGAACAACAAAACAUUAGUCUAGGAUACUCAGCAAAGCUGAAUUAGUUUCAAAAGAUGUCACGCUAUUUUUUUAACAUUAUAUUUCUUGACUUUCUGUGAAAUAUUAUAAAAUGUAAUGACUUUUUCCAAUGUUCUUGAAAUAGAAUAAACAUAGCAGGACACUCACCGGAGAGAAGAAAUGACAAAAAUUCCACAAACAAAAUGCGUUUGGUGAUGAAAUUCAGCCGUUUUACCUCCGUUCUGUAAAU